rnacentral:rRNA from 1 species
UACGUAGGGUGCAAGCGUUAAUCGGAAUUACUGGGCGUAAAGCGUGCGCAGGCGGUUAUGCAAGACAGAUGUGAAAUCCCCCGGGCUCAACCUGGGAAUGGCGAUGAAGACUGCAAGGCUAGAAUCUGGCAGAGGGGGGUAGAAUUCCACGUGUAGCAGUGAAAUGCGUAGAGAUGUGGAGGAACACCGAUGGCGCAAGGCAGCCCCCCUGGGUCAAGAUUGACGCUCAUGCACGAAAGCGUGGGGAGCAAACAGGAUUACGAAACCCUAGU